ACCUUGCUGACGAGUUCCAAGUAGCACGAAACCCGGGUCCAAGGU
rnacentral:hammerhead_ribozyme from 1 species